CACCUGGGAAGUCCUCGUGUUGCACGCC
rnacentral:rRNA from 1 species